CCAGCACCACCUCCAUCAUUGAGGCCACCUGUGUAGGUCAACUAAAGCAGCUUUACCGAAGUCAGAAGCUCCCAGUGUCUCCUAAGACAGCCAGGCCAUCAUUUGUUCGUAAGCAUGGUCAAAGGGAGGAGGUCCAGAGCAAGCUGUGCAAGAACCACAAGACUGGCAAACAGCUUCAACCCCAAGGUCAUCACCAUGUUGAACUCUAAUGCCACA